rnacentral:misc_RNA from 1 species
UUUCCGUAGGUGAACCUGCGGAAGGAUCAUUAAAAAAUUGGACUCCAUUGGUGAGUUCAUUAAUAAUCCCUACCCUUUGUGAAUUUGUUUGUUUGAAUAAUUUUUUUUCCAAAAAAAAAUUAUUGAAUGUCUUUCCCUGUUUUGGUGGAGCUUGUAAAGUGAAACCAGGCAGGGGAAUGGCAAACAAUAAUUAUUUUUGAAAAAGACCUUUUUUAAAAUUAAACUUUUUGUAUUCAUUUGUCUAAAAUUAUUUUUAUAAUAUAAAAACAACUUUUGACAAUGGAUCUCUUGGUUCUCGCAACGAUGAAGAACGCAGCAAAAUGCGAUAAGUAGUGUGAAUUGCAGAAUACGUGAAUCAUCGAAUCUUCGAACGCAUAUUGCACUUUUUUAGUUUACUAAAAAAGUAUGUCUGUUUGAGUAUCAGUAAAAUAUUCUCAUAAAAAACAUUGUUUUUUUAUGGUUAUGAGUGUUUUACAACGAUAACAAGUUGUUUCACUUUAAAUUCUUUGUUAUCAAAAAAAUCAUUAAAAGCUAAUUUUAAAGAUUUUUUAAAAUCGGAUAAAAUUUUCCCGUAAAAAGGAAUAACCUAAACAAUUUUAAAAAAUUAAAAUUGGUUUGAUUUUUUUGAAACCCAAAGGAAAAAAAAACGAAAUUAACUUGAUCUCAAAUCAGAUAAGAGUACCCGCUGAACUUAAGCAUAUCAAUAAGCGGAGGAAAAGAAACUAACUAGGAUUCCCUCAGUAACGGCGAGUGAAGCGGGAAGAGCUCAAAUUUGAAAUCUUCAAGGUUUUACCUUGACGAAUUGUAGUUUAAAGAAGUGUUUUCUGUUGGAGUUUUGGUAAAAGUUCUUUGGAAAAGGACAUCAUAGAGGGUGAGAAUCCCGUAUUUGACCAUUAUCUCCAGCUUUGUGAUACACUUUCAAGGAGUCGGAUUGUUUGGGAAUGCAGCCCAAAAUGGGUGGUAAAUUUCAUCUAAAGCUAAAUACUGGCGAGAGACCGAUAGCGAACAAGUACCGUGAGGGAAAGAUGAAAAGAACUUUGAAAAGAGAGUUAAACAGUACGUGAAAUUGUCAAAAGGGAAGCGUUUGACACCAGUGUUGUUUCUCGAAAAUCAAUUAAAAAAGGCCGGAUUUUGCGUUGUAUUGACUUUAUCAGCUUUCUGCACUUUUUUCUUGUCUUUUUUAAUGCACUUUUCGUUUAACAAGUCAACAUCAAUUUCUUUUGUUGUAAAAGGGUCAUUGGAAGGUGGCUUUCUUUUCGGAGAAAGUGUUUAUAGCCUUUGGCCUCUGCAAUCGGAGAGAUUGAGGUCUGCAGCGUAGAUCCUUCGGGUUAGAUACAUUUGUGCUAAGUUAUAGCCUUUCAUAGACAACUUGUUGACUAUGAUCAGUCAUGUAGCUUACUCGCUUAUGCUAUUU